rnacentral:lncRNA from 1 species
UGGAAUAUGCAAGUAAUCUAUGCUGACAGUAAGCAGAGGAGUGGUUUUCUGGAAUAGAACAGCAUGAAGCAGGGAAAGAAAUAAAAAGAAGCAUUACAAAAAGUUAGGAUGCAAUUUUUGGCUUAUGUAUAUUAGUUAUUUUGGUGGUGAUGGCUUCAAAAGCAUGUAUUUAUAUCAAAAUCCAUCCAAUCGUUUACUCUAACUUAAUGUGCAGUUUACUGUGUGUCAAUUAUACCUCAAGAAAGUUAAAAAAAAAAAAGGUGGGAAAAAAAAA